rnacentral:lncRNA from 1 species
UUUUUAUCUUAUAAUCAGGAAUAGUAAAAACUGUAGUUCUUAGUUUUCUAUAGGAAUCUGUUAAUUAAAAAGUAGAAACUUAAUAAGUACUGCAGAUAUUCAAGUAUCAGGCUUAAAAGUAAAAUUUCAAGCAUAGUUGAGAAUAAGUGGAAGUCCUGCUGGCAGUAGCCUGGAAUUUUUAAAUGGGUCUUGGGUUUCUGAGUAAAGGUAGUAAGAUGAAGUAAUAUCUUAAAGAAAUGUUCAUUCUUUUUACAGAUUUAUAUCAGGUUCAACAUUCCGUGGGAUAAGAUGGUCAUUUUUAUUAACGUAAUAAAAUUAUAUGUAAAUACGAUGUUUUAUAUAUGCUUUUAUACAAUACAUAAUAUUGAGACUAGGAGGGAUUUUUCACCCUUGAAAACUUAUUCUAAAUUUUCAUAGUGUUAGAUGUUAGUGUUCGAAAUACUGUGUAGAUAGCAAUUCAAACUAGUUUGACUAUAUUCUUUAAUAUUAAGCAUGUGAUUCACUUUCAUAAGGAGUACAUAUUUUAGAGAUAACUGAAUUUAUCAUUUACUGAGGGGCUACCUACAGGGUUUUACAUUUCCGGCAACAUAUUGUGAUAAAUGUCAGUUGUUAUUACAGUUUGUCAUUCUGAGCUCAGCUUAAUAAAUGCAAC